rnacentral:rRNA from 1 species
AUUGAACGCUGGCGGCAGGCCUAACACAUGCAAGUCGAACGGUAACAGGAAGAAGCUUGCUUCUUUGCUGACGAGUGGCGGACGGGUGAGUAAUGUCUGGGAAACUGCCUGAUGGAGGGGGAUAACUACUGGAAACGGUAGCUAAUACCGCAUAACGUCGCAAGACCAAAGAGGGGGACCUUCGGGCCUCUUGCCAUCGGAUGUGCCCAGAUGGGAUUAGCUAGUAGGUGGGGUAACGGCUCACCUAGGCGACGAUCCCUAGCUGGUCUGAGAGGAUGACCAGCCAAACUGGAACUGAGACACGGUCCAGACUCCUACGGGAGGCAGCAGUGGGGAAUAUUGCACAAUGGGCGCAAGCCUGAUGCAGCCAUGCCGCGUGUAUGAAGAAGGCCUUCGGGUUGUAAAGUACUUUCAGCGGGGAGGAAGGGAGUAAAGUUAAUACCUUUGCUCAUUGACGUUACCCGCAGAAGAAGCACCGGCUAACUCCGU